rnacentral:tRNA from 1 species
ACUUGAAUAGCUUAAUUUAAAGUUUAAUAUUGAAGAUAUUAAGAUAGAUUAUUUAUCUUUUAAGUA